rnacentral:misc_RNA from 1 species
AAGUCGUAACAAGGUUUCCGUAGGUGAACCUGCGGAAGGAUCAUUACCGAACUGUCAACACGAGUUGUUGCUGGUCCUCAAAUCGGGGGCAUGUGCACGCUCUGUUUGCAUAUCCACUCACACCUGUGCACCCUCUGUAGUUCUGCAGCCCGAGGGCUCUGUCCCCCCUGCCUGUGGUUCUAUGUAUUUACACACACACACACUGUAAUAAAGUCUUAUGGAAUGUAUGCCGCGUUUAACGCAAUACAAUACAACUUUCAGCAACGGAUCUCUUGGCUCUC